GUUUCAUUGGUCUAAAGGUUAGGACGCGGGCAUACUGCCCGAGAUUGCGGGUUCAAAUCCCGUAUGAAAAU
rnacentral:tRNA from 1 species